UCCCUGAUGGUCCUGUGGUUAGGACUCAGCACUUUCACUGCUGUGGUCCAGGUUUGAUCCCUGGUCAGGGAA